AUGAAAGAAAGCCUUGCUGGCACACAACACUUGACAUCCAUCUCAUCAGCGAGAGAAGACUGUUCAUCAGUCAUGACAGCGGCUGUGAUCUCCUACCACAGGAACCUCUGGGUGAUAGUGAUGGAAUCAUGGGGUCUGCGUCAUUGCCAUGGCACAAGCUGUGAGGUAACAGUCCUUAUGACUGGGCUGUUCCUUCAGCCCACUCCUCUCCCUUCACAUCAUGCUUUUGACCUAGCUGCCAUUUUCUGCAGAAUCUUUGCAAGGUUCAAAUUCGGAAAUUGGAGCGUUACAUUUAAAUGGGCAUGCUUAGGCACAGCCUGCCACUGACAGUGGAUGGUCACAGCUGUCUGGGGAAGAAGACAAGGACAUGUAAACACACAGAGAAACCACAUCAAGAAAAGCAGAACUGCAGUAGUGUGGAUAUGACCUUCCUGCCUCCCCCAACUCAUCCUUCUUCUUGACCUCAUCCCAUCCAACACCCACAGGGCCUCACACACCUCGGCAACACAGAAAAAGGCAGAGGAAGAUGAGUGGUAGUCCUUCCUUCAUCACGAGGGAGAGGCUUUUGAGGCUCAGGAUUGUCCUGCUGGUUGUUUCCUAGCUCUGGUACCUUCCAUUCCUUGGCCUCUCCAAGCAAUCUGAAAAGAUUGCAUGUCCUCAGACUGCUGUAAGGGAGAACUAAGACUUCAUUAUCUUGUGGAACUGGUAAUGAAAAGCAGUGUCUCUGCAUAUCCCAGGGCUCCAGAGCACAGUACAUACCAAAGCCUUGCUAACUGUUUAUUAUGAAGAUCUAAAAAUCAGUUGUGUGUCUGCCUAAAUCCUGUUCUCGAUUGAUGAGAAGAGAGCCCUGAGGGAAGGGAAAACAUUUUCUAGGGAAGAAGCUUUUAACAUCAGAAGGGAGGAAACCAAACAGCACUCCUCAUGCCUCUGCUUCACAUGCUUAGUGCACAACUGGCCCUGUGGGAGGGUAGGGAAAGGAUCAAGCCAUCAAGUGAGCCUCAGGACGUGGGGAGCACUGGGCAGCUACUCGCCCACCGCAAGCACUCAGCAGUGCUAUGACUGGAGACAAGGAGUUCUUGCAGCCAUUCUUACCCACUGCACAAGACCCACAUUUCUCCCAGUUCAAACUGCAAAGGAAAGAAUCGUGGCAAUGAGCUCCACAUCAAUUUGAGCCACCCAGUUAUAGUACAGUCUCCCUUGGGAAAGGGGUGAGGUCUGUCACAGAUCUCAUCAGUGCCUGGUUGCAGUGUGGGCUGGGAGGUGAGAACAUCCAGCUUCUGAGCUUUGGCUUUUUCAUGGGCUGUGCCCUGCCAGGGGAAAGGAUGCUCCUAUCCCUCCAGCUCAUAACCAUCAGCAGAUAGCCUCUUAUCUGAAUAUUUUGAGCACUGCUUUUUUUUUAAAUCACCUGGCAUUCUGAGCUAUCAUUUCUAGAUGAGGGCAAAGUAGCUACAGAUCUCCUUCUGAUUUGGUAAUGACUUCAGUGCUUAACAGAGCUAGCAUACGUGAACUGAUAAUCUUGCCUGUGUGUAAUCAUGAAAAAUCUACCAUUUCCUGUGGCUGGCAAACCACCUUCUGUUGUACACAUACUGCUCUUCUCUUUUCUCUAACAACACAUCUUUUCUCAAAAUCACAAAGGGGAUUUUGAAUCACAUUGGGAGUCUCUGUGCUGUACCCAGAAGGUACAGAUAUUUUUUUCAGAUUGUAUGGAAAGGCCAAGAGAUGGAGGGCACAAGCAUAGGGCCAUCCCAAGCCCUGAAAUCCUCUCCUUCCUUAUGAAGGAAGGGCUGUCAUUUGAAUUCCUCUGCCUUUUGCUGUGUCAUUGAGGUAUGUGAGGCCCUGUGAGUAAAUGCACGAGUUGCAAUAUCUAAUGAGGAAACUAAGUCAUCUCUGUUAAUCAGUCUCCUGCUGGCAUCCACUGCAGAUCCAGCACUGUUUCAGCUCCACCAUGACAUGUCCACGCAUCUUGCAUAGUGGGCAAAGAGCAAUGAAGAAGAAGCACAAGUAUGGAGUUUUGGAUCAGCUUUCCCUACAGAAACCUCCAAAUGACCAUCACUGCUUACCUCCAAGUAAGUGGAGCCAAGUGCUGUAACAGGUGAAUGGAUCUGAAUGGGGUUUAUGAUACAAUGCACUACAUUUUGAUAGAUUGUCUUCCUCAAAUGGAUUAAAGUUUCUCUGAAUCAGCUCCAGAACAUCCAUUCACAGACUCUAGCACAGUCUGUGCUUUCCAGCAUUCCAGCACAGGGUGCCCUCAAGUUGCAAUUAGGAUUUAUACACAUAAGAAGCACGCUACCAUGCUGCAGAGCCCUUCUAAGUGCAGAGUCCCUAUCUGGAUGAAAAUAUUCUUCAGUUCUAUGACAGUAUCAAACCAGGAGUUUUGCAUCAUGAGGCUGAAUGAUAGCAAAAUGUAUCGACGACUGCUUUCUUGCUGAGAGACAAACUAGGAAAACACGGCUGUGACAGAUGCAGCAGAAGGACCAGGUCAGAGGGGACCAUAAGAGCUAGAAGGAUUGUUUCCCAAUCCUCACCUCACAAGUGAAAGAAGUCGAUUCCUUCUCUGCUUAUUUUCCUUUGGUUCCCAGCUGCAUCUCUUCAGUAGGCAGAUCUAAUGAAAACACAGGAGGGUCUGUUCUUUGUGACCACAAGGUUAAUAAGAGUGGAACAUAGGAGCAGCAGGAGCUGCAGGAAGAAUAAUUCCUUUUAAAGCUGGAGAUAGGAAGCCUAUAGGUGGUAAGUGUGACAUUUCAACACGGAGGAGUCCAGCUUAAUUACCUGCAAUUCAAAGGUAGGAACUUCUACAUUAAGGCAGGCAAAAAGAAAGUAGGGGGAGAGGUCCGGCUUCAGCCGCUCAUGAAGAUUUAACAUCAUUAACUCUCUGGCUUCCAAGCAUGUUACUGUAUUUUUAGUGGCCAAAUACCAACACAGAUAAUUGCAUUUGUGUUACCUGCAGUUCAGUGAGAAAUAGUCUCUUUGUCAUUGCCUGCACAGUACAAACACACACAGCAACACCAAGCAGAGUGGCUCUGCUUCAUUUGCAGGUAAAACAAUUCCUGUGUGCAUUAAGCUUGGCUCAGCAAGACAAGCAGACAACAUCAAGGGGCCAGAGCUGCUGUUAUUCAGAUGGCAUUCGGUUCUGGCACACUGACAGGGACAGCAUCCACAGGUGUUAAGUGCCUGAAAGUUAUUUGGCAGAGCCUGCAUGACUGAGUACUGCUGGUAAUCAUAAAAUAUGGCCAACCGAACAUCUGAGUCACCUAUUCACCUACUCAGUAUUUGUGUAUGCUACAGGCAGGCAUAUGGUUUACAGCAAACUGGGGAACAGGCUCUGCCACACACUCAUUCCUUCAUCUUUUCUGGGAUUUGUUGAAGCAUUCGCAGCUGAGACAGACGCAGGCCAAACUUCCAUUCCAAUAUACCACUCAAAAGGCUAUAUUCUGACAGCUGUUGUUAUUGCCUUAAUCUCCUCUCUGUUGCUUAUGCCUGAUUAAAUGAGGAGCCAGUGGCUGAGUUACCAGGCUCCCAAAGUCAGAAAUACCAAGAGGACUAAGACCUUGGUUCCCAGGUCUGGUGCUGUGAAAUCAAUGUAAGACUCUCCCAUUAUCCCUGUCCUCGUGCUUGAACACUAUUUGCAUCUUUUCGCUUGCAAAAAUACAAGAGACUACAGGGCCACAGAAAAUAAAAGCAAUUAGUUAAAACA
ensembl:lncRNA